AAUUCUGCUUGCUCAGCCCUGAGGGUCGGAUGUAAAUUAAUAGGGGCUAAAUGGGAUGUGACCAAUUUGUAAGGCAUGUGUUUCUCUCUCUGAGAUGGGAUCUCUCCAGUCCCAUGUAAUCAGAGCUUGCCGGAGGCUGCCCCAGGACUAGCCUGUACAACCAUAACCUUGACCACCUCUCUUAAUGGAUGCAAGACCUCACAGCUCCUAUUACACCCAAGCCCAACAACCUUGUAAAUUUACUCCUGUGACGCUAAUGUCCUCCCCUCCUUGAGACAAAACCUACACAUUGGGUCCUGGCAUGUUGGGAACAAAGAAGGGGAGGGGGAGCUGGGGAGAAAGGGGGCUUAAGAGGCAUUCAGUAUGUUUGGUGGAGGCUUAAGCUCCUUGGAGCAGCCUUUGUGUCUGGAUGGGGCAAAAAUUAUGCAACUUCCAUGUCUCCAUCACAUCAAAGGGGCUCUGGAAGAUCUCUCAGAGCUCAAGAGGCGGGCGGCCCAGUUCUCUCCCAUCCAUGUCUUAAAUCACGCUUUUAUCUGCCUCCCCAUCGAAACUGAUGCUAAGUGUCCCUGACACACACAUCCUCCAAAUAAUUUGAACUUGAUCUGAGGCUUUCGGCCUUCUUGACUUUAAAAAAAAAGAAAGAAAGAAAGAAAGAAAAGAAAAUUCCUAUGAUUUGCUUGGCAACCAUCCACCUCAGCACAGAGGAUCUGGGCAGUGAUGUUGUUGGUGAGGAGCAGUCGUUGCCAUGGCAAUGCAGAGUUCAAAGCAAGGGCUCUGAGUGCUGUCAGAACAGGCGAUAGUGAUAACAUGCUGAAGGCUGGUGUCUUCUCUUCUUACGGAGGGACUCGCACCCACAAAAUGAUGGGGAGGAGGCGGCAGCAAGGCCAGUCACCACUCCAGUUAUGUUCAUCGUGUCUACUACUCCCUUAAUGGGAAAUGUGCACCACUGGGAAUCUGAAGACCACAUCUCAACCUUAACAAGGAUCUGCACCUACAAUCCUUAUUCGGCAAAAUUCCCAGAGCCAUUUUCUGUUUCUCAAACCCGUGGGCAGCGCCGCCGACAUCAGCGGAUGAUCUCCUCUUUCAAACUCCUUUACAGAAUCAAGAGAAAGGAAACCUAGGCCGCCACAGAACCAGGCAGCGUUGAGCAGUAUUCAGACAGAGCCCGAGUCCUGUUUCUUAUUUAUUCUGAACAACUUGCCGUCUGAUGAGAAAUCACAGUGUUGGCAAGGACUUCGAGUGCCUGGAUCCUGUCCCAGACAGAAAGUUUCCACGAUUUCCUUUACGUCAUGGGAACGAGAGGAUCUGCCAACCUUUAGAGAAGAUCCUCUCUGCAUUCACCUGGCAAGGAUUACCCAGAGAAACCUGGACCUUCUAUUAAACAGCAGCUCUUCAAAUGUUUGGACCCUUGCUCUCACAAACAGCCUCUGGUCCCUCAGAGUAUCUACCCACCACGCAGCAGCUCUUCAUCCUAGGACUGGCAUCAGUUCACCAAAGGCCACCUCUUUCUGAGAGAUAGUCCUAAAGAGGCUCAUCUCCAACCGUGAGGCUCUAAGGAAGGCUCUCUCUCUCUCUCUCUCUCUCUCUCUCUCUCUCUCUCAUCAAGCAGCUUCUUGUCUCUAGGAACUGAAUCAGUGGGAAUCCCUGACCUCUCCAAGGUCACCCUCUGCUCUCCUGGGAUGAUAUCAGAGCACAGGCUCAUUUUCUCUAUGAUACUCCAGUGCAGCAUAGAGAAAAGUGCUGUCCAUUUUCACAGGAUUCUUCUGAGGAUUGGACUACUGCUAUCAUUGAGGGAGGGGGACUAAUGGGACAGGAUGUAGUAAAACUUGGAGCAAAAAAUGAAAUGUCAGUGUGGAGAUAAUCUGCCUGCUUGACCUUCCUACCAUCCCCCGAAGGAAUCGAUAACACAUCGUCCUCCCAACUCCGUGUUCAACUAGACUUGUUUUCUGUUGGGGUGGGGCAUGUUUUUGUUCUUCUUUAAAGGAGACCACACAAACUGUCAAGAUAACCUGGAGAUUAGCAUGAUAGACCCUUCUUAUUUCCUAACACCCUAGUGAAGAGGUGACUUCACAUGAAAGGCCAGUGAUCCAGAGCCACCUCCCUACAGGGUCAGAGACAGAACACCCAGCUAGCAAGAUCUGGCCACCAGGCCUUUGGGCUCAGCGACAAACAUGACCCAUGCUAUUAAGUAUUGGGAAAGGAAUCAAUGUUGUGUGCUCUGGCAAGCCCCAGGUUCUGCCAGUAAGGGGGGACAGAAGGAAGGCACGGAGCUGGGGCUCAAGCAGGGAAGGCCCAGCACCUGCCAGGGUUGGCCCAUUGCCUGUGAUUGUACCCAGUUCUUUGGUCUAGCUUGGUUUGUAUUUUAUAUAUAUUUUAACUAUGCUCAUGGCAGCACUGUUCCACUCUAGGCUUAUGCAAGGGGCAAAGCAGAAGUAAAGACGAACAAACAGUGCUCUAGAAACCGGCAUGCCUCCAUUUCUUCCCUCUGCCUCUGUCUCUUUCCCUUUGUCUCGCAGAUUUCAAUAGCCACCAUGACACCUGGUGCUUAUACCCUAUGCCCUACCCUGUACCCUACACCAAGUGACUGGCCUGGGCUCUGCCUGUGGCUGCCUUUCCUGAGCCAUGAUGUAAAGCUAUGGAUGGUGAGCUCAUGAGGGGAGCUGAGGUAUCCCAUGACACCCUACCCUACCCCUGCCUCCUCCCCCAGCUCCAUCUCUCCUUUAGGACCGCCUGAAUUUCAGUUGAAUGUAAUGAAAGAAAGUUGGCCCCAGAGGUGUCUCUAAGUGUCUCUGCCCAGAACCACAGAGAAUUUUUUUGGCAGAACUUCCAAGGUAGAAGCAAGUUCCUAACAGCCUUUUGGGAUGUCAGGGACAAUUAGACAUCUGCAUUCCCUAACCAUCCCUUGGGAAGGGGGAGGCCAUGUGCCCACCAGACUUCUGCUAAAGUGUUGCUUGGGUUGGAUUUGGGUGUUGCCCCUUCUUUCUCUGUCCUUAGGGGUCAAGCAAAGUGGAAUACAAGACAUCUCUUACUUGGGGCGAGUCUGACAAACCAAUGUGUUUACAGGGGAACUUGGGGCUGGUGGCCAUGAGAUAACAGAGACUCCUGAACCCACAAGUACUGCCGGAGGGGGCAGGGAUGAUUGAGCCUGUGACAAAAAGAUACCCUUUCCAUUUUGUUCCAAGAAAGUUGUGAGAGCCUGUGUUUAAUCGGUCUUUCACCCUGAGCUUCAAAUUCUAAGUCACUAAGAAUCAAGUCACAAACAGAGUGUCUUGUCCUUGCUGGAAAUGACAACUCCCGUAGCUGGAUGUAACAGCCCCCAAGAGGGCUUCUUCCUGGCAGGGGUGAGUAGCCGCCAGCUGUACAGCACUGGGUGAGCCCUAACAGGACCAGCCUUGCAGAAGACCUCAGAGGGGAGAACCCUAAGGUCCACCUGGGCAUCUUCGCCUAUGGCCUGCCACAAUGGUCCCUGUCACACGUGUGGCCCAAGUCUGCUGCUCACAAACAGCAGAAACUGGGUUUGGAGGAGCAGAGUUCCCCCAGUAGAGACAGCUCCUCCCUGUUCUGCCCAGAUAGUGGGAAAAGUGGGGGCGAGGGGGUAUUGCCAUCUCUGCACAGGUGGACAGCGUGCGAGCUGCCCACCUCCCUGCAGUGGAGCUCACUGACAAAAAAAGACAGCUGCAGUUCAACUAAGGGGCAAAUGAUUCCAAAAUGAGCUACAAGUCAGUUUACACAGAGGAGCAGGGCAAACUCUAUUAGGUUGCAAUCUCUAGUUGGGAAAUGUGUUUCUAAAGGGAGUGUGCGUGCCAUGGAAACAAAGCCCCAAAGCCCAGUUUCAGCUUAUUAGCGCUAAAUUGGCCACAGCAAAUGAGCACUGCAAUUGUCAGUGACCUGAGGUUUUAUAAGCACACGGGGACUGUUUGCAGAGAUUUUACAUGCGCCCUGCCGAGCAGCUGAAGGGAGGCAACUCAGCCUAGGACUCCCAUUUCCAAAGCUCAGAACAGCCAUGAAUCCAUCCCAUCAGGUACCCUCUGCACAGGGAUCUCCCUGGGGCGGAAACCUUUCUGAGAUCUGUGCCUUGCACUCGGCUUUCUUAAGAGGGGAAGAACAGCAAGUAAAUGGUACAGACAGCAAGAUCUGUGGGCAGGAGCCUCCGGGUCAAACCACCGAGAGUAAAUCUGGACCAACCCUGUUCUGGCGGGGAAAUGCGGGUGGUUCUGAAGUCACUGACAGAGACUUACGAAGGUUCCACUCUGCAGGGAAGCAGGGAAGAAUAGCCUCUAGCUUAGAUUCCAUCUCCCUUGUAUUGUUACAGUUUUCUCUUGGUAGAUCUCACCCUUCAUAGAGUUCAUUUAUGAAGGGCAGAGAUGGAGGCAUAAGCUGUUUGCAUCAUGAACAGAACUAAAACCUGAUCGGUUCCAUGAAGGUCCUAAGCAAGAGUCUAAAGGGAGAAUAAGGUGGGAGCCCACACCAGGAAGAAUGAUAGAAAAAUAUCAUUUCUGGGGAGAACUCAGAAGACGUAGGCUCUAAGAAUCAGAGAAGUGUCUGGGGUGGAAAGAUGAUGGGUACCCGGUACAGGGGCAGGAUUGGUAAGGAUGCUUGCAGAGGCAGAAGUAAUCCAAGGAGCAGAGGGAAGAAGAGGCAGGCAGGGUGAGUUAUGUCAAGGGGCUCAUAUGUGCAGAGCCUGGGUCUGGGGUCUAGGCUAUGCUGAUUAAUUUUCCAUUCUUAAAACUCUUCUUUCCGAUUCUAAAACAUUGUUCUCCGAGUUCUUCUAGCACUCUAGCCAGUCAUGGCAUUCCAUGCUAGCCCAACAACAACAACUCACACACACGUGUAUGCACACAUGUUCUCACACAUACACACACAUGUACACAUUUGGACACAUGUGCACACACACAGACACACAGACACACAUACACAGGCUAUUUGGGGUUUGCUGUGACUCAACUCUGGACUAAUUGCUCCUUUUCUUGAAUCUUCUCAUCCCUUUUCCCCUUGAAGCACCAGGCACUCUUGGAGGCUUCUAUUAGUGACCCAGAAGUCUAUGUUUUCUUUCAAAUUCAAUUAACUCAGCACACACUCCCAAAACAUCUACAAUGGAGCAAGAACCCUGUUAGGUGGUAGUAAAAUUACAUAAAGCACUAGUUUGCCUCCUGAAACUACACUUAGAGAUGAUAUGAUGAAGGCCCCUGGAGAAGGAAGAAUGGGAAGAAAUGUAUCUCAGGGGUCUAAUGAUAUGACAACUGAUAAUCCCAAUGGAAAAACAGAUUUCCACUAAGGAGAAUGGGCUGCUGGGUAAAGCAGCAGGCACUAGACACGUGGAAGGGAGAAACUCUAAGGGAUUAGGGGUGGCUCUUUAUAUCCUCCUUGCUGGCACCCCCACACCUGCUAAUUUUGCGUGCCAAGGUUUUGGAAGGCAUGAGAUGCCAUCUCUGUUCUUCAGUGCUCCUUUGUCACAGUGGGAGACAGGGAGCCGUAGGGAGGCAUCCACCAAUGAGAAGUGAAUGGGUUUGUACCAGGAGACUAUCUUAACAUUGUGGCAGUGGACCUAAGACCAUUUAUCAGAACAGCUACGGCAUGAAUGAGAAAGUUAGAAAUUGGAGCUUUUCUUGGGUGGACAUACUGCUCUUGGAAGUUACUAACAUUUUCUAGAAUGUUCUGGUGCAAAGGUGAGACUCUCAUUGUGAAGGGGUGGAAAAUAAGGAGAGCGUCCAUAUGUGGGAGUGCCCCGACAGGUGCUUUCACACUUGAAAAACUGCACUGAAAGGAAAUAGCAACAAAACUGUAACUGUAGCAUUUGGAAAAGGAGGGUGAUUUCGAUGGCCACAGAGCCGAUAGGCCAUUCUUAGAGAGAAAAAAAAAAUGUUGCAUCUUAUUUGUGUUCUACUCUUCCUAAAGACAGAAAGAAAAUGCUUUACUUGUAACCAACAUGAUUUUGAUCAAAGAGGUCUCUAAAAAUAUGACCAAUACUUCUUUGUCUGGUAUACAUUUAUGGAUGGGCUUCUCCAGCAGUAUGUUGAAACCACCUAGGUAACAUCUCAAAGAAGAGUUUGAAGUCUGGGUAGAAGAAGUCUAGUGGCCUAGAACAUUCUGGAACAGAUCAUCUCACCUCAGAACGAGCGACCCUUCAGGAAGACUUAUCUAUACUUUUUGUUCCACACCUACGUACACUCCCUUAAUUCUCCACCAGCUGACGGGUGUAGAGAGCUGCCCUGUGGACUCUGCCUCAUCCACCUUUGGCUCAGUUUCACCACCAAACGGAUGGUGGGAACGAUCCUCUGCUCUUCGCUGCCAGUGUCAGCAUCCUUUCUCUUAGUCUCAAGAAUGUUUCUGUUUGUGUGUCCUAUAAUUGCCACAAGAGACUAAGCUGUGUAAACUGCCUUCAAUAAACUUUCACAGUAAACAAAAUUCCAUCAUGAUCAUGCCUUGCUGAUGGAGUGCUGAGGAGGUCCAAGAGCUUACAAAGACUGUAAGAGAGCGAGGCAUGAAUUAGUCCACGGAGUCACUGAUUUAACCAGGAGUUUUAACUAGGGAGCUGAUAUUUUAAGGUACUGUGAGAAAGAGUUGAAACAAUAGCAGAUAUCUAAGCUGAGAGAAUGGGGGAUUCUGUGUGCACCUUCCAUUUCGUUUAGCCACCCUUGUCCCCACCCAUCUCUCUCCGCCUCCUCUGGUUCUGUAGGGAGCUGCUCUCUAACAGCUGUGCAUCAGGGAGGGUCAUCUGUUUACACCCCUCAAGCAUACUGUAGCCAAGUACAAUCAAGCCACGCUCAGGGAGUCUGAAACAGGACUCUUGCCUGAACCAAAGCUAUUUAGGUGCCAAGCACUGCAGGGGGUGGGGUGGGGGCACCAUAUUCUAGGCAUCAUUCUGUAGGACCCACUAAUUAGACCUGCCACCUUGAUAAUCAAUCAAGUUACAAAGCUGCCCGAUACUCUGUAGCUCUUCACAAGAAAUGUGUGGAGCCCCAAAGCUUCCUUGUUACCAGCCAGUAAAAAGCUACUCAUUGCUACCUAACUUUUUUUCCCCCAAGACUACACCAAGCUUUCCAACUUUGAUGUUGAACUAUGUUAACAAUGGCUGACUUGGAAAGUCCCUGUAGGGUUUGGAAGAAAUUAAUGUUAGCCCUCCUCUCAACAAAAAAACUAGGGGUUUGCAAAACACACCAUAUGCUUGUCACUUUGCCAAUGAAUCAAGAUGUUUUUGCAGCCUUCUGAGUCUGAAUAAUUAAUGGUAAUGUCUAAAGAUUACCCCAAGGCUCAGGGAGUGAGGAUGGGGUCUCCGCGGUGUCCAACAAGACUCAACCUCAACUCAACCCAAUAUUUCAUGUGAUAAAUGGCCAGGCUUCAUGAACAUCCCCACCACCCCACUCGUCACCAUUGUUCAUUCAUCGCCUGUUCCCAUUCCUCCCAUUUCUUACACAACUGGAUUCUCUGUUUUGCUUCAAGCAAAUGUUAUUACUUUUUACCCUUCCUCAGAUACAGCACUUGUUCCAACUGUCUCCAGCUUCUCCAAUGAUUAUCUUUCUAACUGGUACACUUUGGUAUUAGCUGCUUUGCUGCCAGGGGACUAGUUUCCCUUCAAUACAUUCUUGCCAAACAAUUAAUCUGAAUCAAUGAAUCCAGCUGAAUAGAUCAAUAGCCUAACUAAUUCUGGUGAUUAUGGCCAACAUGGAUUUUUCUAAAUAUUUUAAAAGAACAGAUAAUUAAGUUCUUAUUCUGUAAAUUAAUAUACACCCAUGAUCAUUUUAAAUAAAUGUUAGCCAUAUGAACUCUUAGGUAAAAGGAACCCUUCUUUAAUUUUUAUAAUCUUUUGGGGAAAUUAGUUUCUAGAGUUCAGUGUCUAUUGUUGAUUCAUUUCUUCUCUCUCAGAAAUGCCAUAAUAAAGUGCUAUUCAGUCUUCAACAGAAUGGUCCAUUUUUCUUGUUUGUGUUUGUUUGUAGACAUGGUCUCAUGCUAUAACCUAGACUUGCCAGGAACUUACCAUGAAGUCCAGGAUAUGAUGGAACUCCUGGCAACCUCCACAUCCUGGAUUCUGGCAUUACAGGUGUUCCCAACCAUGUCCACUUAUUUUUGAUUGUUGAUUUA